GACGAACGCUGGCGGCGUGCUUAACACAUGCAAGUCGAACGGAAAGGCCCUGCUUUUGUGGGGUGCUCGAGUGGCGAACGGGUGAGUAACACGUGAGUAACCUGCCCUUGACUUUGGGAUAACUUCAGGAAACUGGGGCUAAUACCGGAUAGGAGCUCCUGCUGCAUGGUGGGGGUGGGAAAGUUUCGGCGGUUGGGGAUGGACUCGCGGCUUAUCAGCUUGUUGGUGGGGUAGUGGCUUACCAAGGCUUUGACGGGUAGCCGGCCUGGGAGGGGGACCGGCCACAUGAGGCCUGGGAGAGGGCGCAGACUGCUACGGGAGGCAACGGUGGGGAGUAUUGUACAAUGGGCGGAAGCCUAGUGCGACAACGCCGGGUGCGGGAUGAGGGCCUGCGCGUAGUAAACCGCUUUCGCUUGAGACGAAGCGUGAGUGACGGUAAUGGGUAAAGAAGCACCGGCUAACUACGUG
rnacentral:rRNA from 1 species